AUUGAACUCUGGCGGCAGGCCUAACACAUGCAAGUCGAACGAGUGGCGGACGGGUGAGUAAUGUCUGGGAAACUGCCCGAUGGAGGGGGAUAAAUACUGGAAACGGUAGCUAAUACCGCAUACCAUCGGAUGUGCCCAGAUGGGCUUAGCUUGUAGGUGAGGUAACGGCUCACCUAGGCGACGUUCCCUAGCUGGUCUGAGAGGAUGACCAGCCACACGUGAACGGAGACACGGUCCAGCAGCCGACGUGAGGCAGAAGUGGGGAAGAUUGAGCAAUGGGAGCAAGUGUGAUGCAGUCUUGCCGAGUGUAUGAAGAAGGCCUUCGGGUGGUAAAUUACUUUCAGCGUGGAGGCGUUAACCGCAGAAGAAGCACCGGCUAACUCCGUGACAGCAGCCGCGGUAAUAC
rnacentral:rRNA from 1 species